rnacentral:rRNA from 1 species
CCGCCCUCUACUCAGCGAGAAGUCCAUUGAACCUUAUCAUUUAGAGGAAGGAGAAGUCGUAACAAGGUUUCCGUAGGUGAACCUGCGGAAGGAUCAUUG